rnacentral:rRNA from 15 species
UUGACCUCAAAUCGGGUGAGACUACCCGCUGAACUUAAG